rnacentral:rRNA from 1 species
AUGGCGAAGAAGGCCGCAAAGCGAGCUAUCAAUGAAGCAAGGGGUCGGGCAUAUGAGGACCUCUACCAAUGGCUAGGCACGAAGGAAGGCAAAAGAGACAUAUAUAAGAUGGCCAAGAUCCACGAGAGGAAGACGAGGGAUGUUGGCCAAGUCAAAUGCAUCAAGGACGGAGCAGACCAACUCCUAGUGAAGGACGAGGAGAUUAAGCAUAGAUGGCAGGAGUACUUCGACAAGCUGUUCAAUGGGGAGAAUGAGAGUUCUACCAUUGAACUGGACGACUCCUUUGAAGAGACCAGCAUGCGUUUUGUGCGGCGAAUCCAGGAGUCUGAUGUCAAGGAGGCUUUAAAAAGGAUGAAAGGAGGCAAGGCGAUGGGCCCUGAUUGUAUCCCCAUUGAGGUGUGGAAAGGACUCGAGGACAUAGCGAUAGUAUGGCUAACCAAGCUUUUCAACCUCAUUUUUCGGGCAAACAAGAUGCCAAAAGAAUGA